rnacentral:rRNA from 1 species
GCCGAAAAUCUAAGGUUUCUUGGGGAAGGUUCGUCCGCCCAAGGUAAGCCGGGAGCUAAGGCGAGGCCGCAAGGCGUAGUCGAUGCACAUACGGUAAAGAUUCCGUAGCCGCCGAACUUUAAGUCAGAGGGACACUUGCAGAUAGCGGAACCCAGCCGUUGGUUGAGCUGGGCAUAAGGGACUGAAUUUAGUAGGGAAGUCCGCGAUGCUGAAAGGCGAGAAAAGCUCUGAUGGAUACUAAGGCGCCCGUACCGCAAACCGACACAGGUAGAUGAGGAGAGAAUCCUAAGGCCAACGGGAGAAGGGUUGUUAAGGAACUCGGCAAAUUGACCCCGUAACUUCGGAAGAAGGGGAGCCCCGAAAGGGGCCGCAGUGAAUAGGCCCAAGCAACUGUUUACCAAAAACACAGGUUUAUGCUAAAUCGAAAGAUGACGUAUAUGAGCUGACGCCUGCCCGGUGCCGGAAGGUUAAGAGGAGAGCUUAGAGCAAUCGAAGGUUUGAAUUGAAGCCCCGGUAAACGGCGGCCGUAACUAUAACGGUCCUAAGGUAGCGAAAUUCCUUGUCAGGUAAGUUCUGACCCGCACGAAUGGCGUAAUGAUUUGGGCACUGUCUCGACAGCCCGCCCGGCGAAAUUGUAGUACUGGUGAAGAUGCCAGUUACCCGCAACUAGACGGAAAGACCCCAUGGAGCUUUACUGCAGUUUAAUACUGGGAAUCGGUAAUGCAUGUACAGGAUAGGUGGGAGACUAGGAAGCAUGGUCGUCAGGUCAUGUGGAGUCACCGGUGGGAUACCACUCUUGUAUUGCUGAUUUCCUAACCUGCGGCCGUGAAUCCGGUCGGGGGACACUGUUAGACGGGCAGUUUGACUGGGGCGGUCGCCACCAAAAGAGUAACGGAGGCGCUCAAAGGUUCGUUCAGCACGGACGGAAAUCGUGCAUUGAGUGUAAACGCAUAAAUGAGCCUAACUGCGAGACCGACGGGUCGAGCAGUAACGAAAGUUGGAGUUAGUGAUCCGGUGGUAUGUGAGUGGAAAUGCCAUCGCUCAACGGAUAAAAGCUACCCUGGGAUAACAGGCUGAUCUCCCCCAAGCGUCCACAGCGACGGGGAGGUUUGGCACCUCGAUGUCGGCUCGUCGCAUCCUGGGGCUGUAUUCGGUCCCAAGGGUUUGGCUGUUCGCCAAUUAAAGCGGCACGCGAGCUGGGUUCAGAACGUCGUGAGACAGUUCGGUCCCUAUCUGUUGCGGGCGUAAGAGAUUUGAAGGGAGCUGUCCUUAGUACGAGAGGACCGGGAUGGACGUACCUCUGGUGCACCAGUUGUCCUGCCAAGGGCAUAGCUGGGUAGCUAUGUACGGACGAGAUAAACGCUGAAAGCAUCUAAGCGUGAAACUCCCCCUAAGAUGAGAUCUCUCAUCCAUUAUGGAGUAAGGGCCCAGAAAGACGAUCUGGUUGAUAGGCCGGAGGUGGAAGUGCAGUAAUGUAUGGAGCUGACCGGUACUAAUAGCCCGAGGGCUUGACC